rnacentral:rRNA from 1 species
AUGGCAUCGGCAGCUUUGGAGAAGAUUGCAUUCUUUGGCGCCAGCUUCUGCCUCACAAUGCCAGCUAGCUCCUUAACGCAGUCAUCGACAGUAACUGCGGUCCUUGAUAGCUUGAGCGACUCGAAGAAGGGAAGGACAUCGUCCAUAACUUUCACCCCUUCCCACUCUUUGAGGCUCUCCAAGGCCUUGCCUGCCUCUGCAUCACUUCUCAUCACAUAA